rnacentral:lncRNA from 1 species
GCUCUGUGUCCCAUCCUUGGUCCUAAUCUUGAGACGGCAGGACUAAGAUUGGAGGACUUGUGGCUUCCAGGUUCCUCCUGAAAGCCACCAGAGAUUUAAAAAAAAAAAAAAAGAGUGAGAGGUUAGCCUGAUCCAGCGAGAGCAGCGAUGGCUCCCUGGGUGAGGAUACAUGCCAGCGAGUGAGGAGCUGCUGACUGGGGGGUGAUCUCCCUGAUAAAUGAUGGAGUGCCAGUUGCUUCUGCAGCUGCAGGGCUGCAUCUGGGCCCCAGUGCUGAUGCACGCUCCGCCUCCAGAUCCGCAUUGUCACCAGCUUGUUGGAAAAACAGAUGUUAUUGUCCUCUGUUCCUGUCCCUUUGUCCCUAAUAGGCACUUAAGCGCAGGAGGGGGAAAAAGAAACGGAGACAGAAUCGUGUAACUAUUUCAGGCUCUUUCCAGAAGCAUGCACUUCUGUGGGACUUGGGGUCUGGGAUGGAAUGGGUGCAGGGAAGCACCCCCUGCCCCCUGCCCCAGUGUUUCUGGGACAGCCCUGGGGAGAAGCUGCUUGUUGGUCCAAGGCAGUGGGUGCUGAGGACUAGUUCUUGGAGGAGACGCCUUCCUUCUCUCUUAGAUCUGCACCUGGAGUGGGCCCUAAGCUGACAUUUCAAAGAAGGAAUGCUGGGGACCUCUGGUCUUCUGCCUGGACUGCCAGAGUUUGGAAGAUUGGAUGAGGUCAAGGGCUGA